rnacentral:rRNA from 1 species
CUCAACCUGGGAAUGGCAUUCGAUACUGUCCAGCUAGAGUCUGGUAGAGGGAAGUGGAAUUUCCGGUGUAGCGGUGAAAUGCGUAGAUAUCGGAAGGAACACCAGUGGCGAAGGCGACUUCCUGGACCAAGUCUGACGCUGAGGUGCGAAAGCGUGGGUAGCAAACAGGAUUAGAUACCCUGGUAGUCCACGCCGUAAACGAUGAGAACUAGCCGUUGGACCCAUUUAAGGGUUUAGUGGCGCAGCUAACGCAAUAAGUUCUCCGCCUGGGGAGUACGGCCGCAAGGCUAAAACUCAAAGGAAUUGACGGGGGCCCGCACAAGCGGUGGAGCAUGUGGUUUAAUUCGAUGCAACGCGAAGAACCUUACCUGCCCUUGACAUCCUCGGAACUUGGUAGAGAUACCUUGGUGCCUUCGGGAGCCG